GAGCCACUUGCAGCCAGCGCGUUGGAAACCAAUGGUUUGCUGUGUGUAGGUGACCCAGCUGGUAGAGUUCCUCAUCAACCACCGGGAGGAACUCUUUGAGGCCGAGGAGGAGCGGGAGGAGGAGGAAGAGGGGGCUGGGCUCGCCGCUGAAGGGGCCGAGGAGUCGCCGGCAGCAGGAGCAGAGGCGGAAACUGCAGAGGUGCCUGCAGUCGCUGAAGAAGGCGAAGCUCGGAAUAGCUCCUCUGGGCAGAGCAGCUUGCCAGGCUCUUCGCGGGAGGGGGGAAAUCCUUCCCCCCGGAAGAGAAAGCUCCCGCGCGAAGAGGAGAGCGAUGCGCAGCCCAGCAAGCGCAGGAGGAGCCUGGAGCCAGGGAGCUCAGGAGCGGGCGACUGAGCCAAGCCAGGUGGGGCGAGAGGAACAAGGAGCCCUGGUGUGUGAAAGAGCCUGCUCUCCCUCUUUCCAAUUGUCAUGCUGCUCUGAGUCUAGGAAAUAUUUCUGUGGUGCCCAGAGACGGCCCCAGA